ACUUGAACGGUUCAUACAUUACUUAACUCGCAGUCGAUCACAGAUGUUGACAUGUUAAUGUUGACCAUCUUUCCCCAGGUCCCGUCCCUUCUGCACUGCAACACGUGCUCCUCCAUCAUUUAUAUGCGCUCCUCACUCUCGUAGUUCAGUUCUUAUGGUAACCAACAGUUUGCUAGUUGUUGUUAGCAGCUAUUUAACCUGAGCUAACUUAGUGUAGCUGACUGCUACUGCUUUGACAUAAGAGUGGUCUACCUUGAUGAUUAUAGAUGCAUUAGUUUAUGUCAAUAUGGACACGGAUCCUUCAACGCGUUGGAAUGCUCUUUUUUUACAGCUUCAAACCCGUCCAUUGAUUCAGAUGAGUUUGAUUACUGCACUUAGUUAACUAACAACAAGUGCAGCAGUAAGACAACGUUAGCAAGCUAGCCCUAUGAAAAGCCCUUAAUUUGUAUGAACUUUGCUACUUACUUGCUGUUCUACUAGAGUUGUUUAUUUGUUUUUGAAUUGUGUUUGCCAGAGUAAAUCUAGAUAAAUGUAUCAAAAGUUAGCUGAAAUUUGGCUAACCUUACAGUUUGAAAAUUAAGAAGACAUAUCCAUCUUUCGCCGACCAGUAGCCCUUCUUCCUAAACACACAGAGGGCCUAGGGUGUCUUGUCAUUGGAGGACUCUGAAAUAGAGGAGCUUCAAAUAUCUGUGGCACAGUCACAACUGUGUUGGACAGAGGAGACCGUUUGCCCACAUAGAGAGCCUACAACUGAACCCCAUGGAGUUUAUCAAGCCAAUGAAUUAGCCCAGUAGGGCACCCACCAGGAGCCCAGUCCCAUAGGUAAUAAGGUGAAUGAGAUAUGCAGCCAUUACUCUAUUCGAAAUGCAGCUUGGGCAGGAGGCCAUCCAUGCAGCAAUGUUCCUGUGGAGAUGAAAGGGGACACCCCAGCGCACCACGGCCAUGGCACACUAAACAGACAAAAAACAACUGAGUCCACAUCGCCACACACUUCACAUAACACAGCUUGUGAAGAAAACACAUUGUCACUCAAUGCUUUGUGAAAGACACAAAGAACAGAUCCAAAUGGCUCUAUGAAAAAGCCACUACAAGAUAAUCAAACUGUUUUGUCUUUUGAGCCACUGGCGCACUGGGAUCUGGACUAGAUUCUUCUGACUCUUCAAACAGAUGGACUCUUUUUAGAAGGCAGUGUGUCUGAUGAACCUAUGGAAGUACAACCAGAUGGAGACAAUGUAAGGUCACAGGAUACUAUAUUGGAGAGGCGGGCUGCUUUCUGUAGGACACAGUCAUGUGGAGAUGCUGAAGAGAAAAGAGAAACUGCGCCAGAUAAAACCUCUGACAAAAUGGUGGAUGGAGAAAGUCUUUCAAAAGGAUGGCAUUUGAGUUAAAGCCAAGCCGCCAGGAAGUGCCCCACCAUUUAUAUUGAUUUACGUAACCCUGAGCCUCCCGCGAACACAACCAGACCAUGUAACAGCACUUCAUCACAAUCCAUGAAACGGACCAACCUCAACCUACACGACAAAAACCAAUCUGAUGAGAAAACAGACAGAAAUAUACAGUCUGGUUUACUGAAUGGAAAAGAGGAAGUAACUGGAAAGAGGCUAUUACUCAGAAUGUUACGCGAGGCGAACAGAAACAGGAGAGAGCCGGACAGGAAAGAUCUAGUUGCAGCGGAUUCUACAUGCAGAACCCCCAGAAGAGUGGCCUUGAAGGACAAGCUGCCUGAGGCUAACAAUGAGAUAACAUCUCUGCUUCCAGAGGUGGACAACCAAACCACAUCUCCCACAAUGAAGCGUGUCCACAACUGGCUGCCAGUUGAGAGAACACCUGCUAUUCAGCAGUGUGCUACUACCGGGCAGCCAAAGAAACAAAGGCAACUGAUCACGUGGUUCGCAGGGAGAGUUCCAGGAAAUAAUUCCCAGAACCCCGACCAGGCUCCAACUGACAGCUCUGCCCCUGGUGAUGGAGAGGGAAGCAGCCCCUUGUAUUUAACCAGGUUCUCUACCACCCUGUGUGCUACUGUUAAAGUGGACGUGUUCUUGAUAGUGUCCCCAGCGGUGGCGCCAUGCUGCUACAGCCGGGUUCUGUCUGUGUGUGAGGGCAGAGGGUUCAGUCUGAGGGGUUCCAGAGGCUGCAGCUCCCCACCAAACAAACCCAGGCACUGGGACUCACCAGACAGCAGGUGUCAGUGUUCUACAGUCCGCCCACUGUUACUGUGGAUGAGAAGAAGGUUGAGCUGUCUUCCCACUGCCUGGUCUUACUUCUGAGGAGAGAGAGUGGCCUGCGUCACUGUGCCAGCCUGCCUGCAGCCCUUGUGAAAGAGUUGGAGACACAGAGGAUGUUGGGAUGCAUCCACAUCAGACUGUCAGAUGAAGGAAAGCUGGACCCGAGCAGCUGCUUUCACAUGUUGCCCUACAGAGAGAGCCUGCUCCAUAGCUUUGGUGGGCGUAUGUGGGCCGUACCCAACCCCUGCAAUGUGGUGCUGUCCAAUCACAGGUGUCCAUCCAACCCAGAGCUGGAGCAGGUGGUGGUGCUUACGCUGGCUGGAAGGGACAUCAGUUAGGGCCUGAGCCUGCUACACAGGCUCUGGACAGGGGACACAACAUAUACUUUACCCCACAUGAACCAUUCCCACAACACAGCCCAUGCGAUGUCGGGGAGGAGGGAUUCGAGCUGCUGGCCAUGAAGUGGCUGCCCACAUCUCGGCAGCAGGCGCGGGAGGUGAGCCCCUAUGAGGUAGGUGACCGGCUGUGGCAGAGCAGCAUGGUGGGCCUGGCUUCCUCCCCUGCCCUGGUGUGUGCUCUGAGGAGGGUGGACGCCUUCGCUCCUGCCACUGGACUACCCCGGGAACCUGAACAUACUGUUGUCUCCCACUCCUGAACUGGCCUUCAGACAAGCAUCCCUCUUCUUCUUCCUGGGAGACAUGAUCCCUGAUCACAGUGUGCGCCCAUUACUGAAGUUCCUACCCCCACCUCACAUAGCUGGUUCCCAGCGUGAGUCAUUGUUAAACUGCAUGGUGCAGGGUGUCCGGCUUCUGGUCAAACUGUUCCUGUUGAAGCCUGGAGUGUGGAGCCAUGCUCUGGGGAAAAUCCUCAGCAAAGUCCAGCGGAGUGGCUUUACUGUGGUGGGCCUGCAUGUGCUGGUUCUGGACAAUACCACAGCUGUGUCACUGGCAUCUGCUGCAGAGAAUCAGGCAACUCACUUAUUCCUACCUACCUAAACCAGGCCAGUGGACAGA